AUUAUCACCUGCUUACGUGAUUAUCUUCCAGGCUUUUUUUUCUAGUGUUAAAUUGGAGUGGACUAUGCUAAUAAGUGUGUGGCUUAUAUUUCCAGAUUUGUGAUCACGACAGCCAAGUUAUUGCAAUCAACUUGAAAUACGGAGAGGCAGCCUCUGAUUCGAUUUGGAAAAAUUCAUAUAAGG